GGGCAACCGGCGAACGGGUGCGUAACACGUGAGCAAUCUGCCGAUUUCUGGGGGAUAGCCGGCCCAACGGCCGGGUAAUACCGCAUACGUUCUCGAGGGGGAGUCCCCUUGGGAAGAAACCUCCGGGGGAAAUCGAGGAGCUCGCGGCCUAUCAGCUAGUUGGCGGUGUAAUGGACCACCAAGGCUAUGACGGGUAGCUGGUCUGAGAGGAUGGCCAGCCACAUUGGGACUGAGAAACGGCCCAGACUCCUACGGGAGGCAGCAGUGGGGAAUCUUGCGCAAUGGCCGAAAGGCUGACGCAGCGACGCCGCGUGUGGGAUGAAGCAUUUCGGUGUGUAAACCACUGUUGCCCGGGACGAACAUCCUCUUUCGAGAGGACUGACGGUACCGGGUGAGGAAGCACCGGCUAACUCCGUGCCAGCAGCCGCGGUAAUACGGAGGGUGCGAGCGUUGUCCGGAAUCACUGGGCGUAAAGGGCGCGUAGGUGGCCUGUGGAAGUCUGCGGUGAAAGCCCGGCGCUCAACGCCGGGUCGGCCGUGGAUACUCUCGGGCUUGAGCUUACUAGAGGCAGAUGGAAUUCCGGGUGUAGCGGUGGAAUGCGUAGAGAUCCGGAAGAACACCGGUGGCGAAGGCGGUCUGCUGGGGUAAUGCUGACACUGAUGCGCGACAGCGUGGGGAGCAAACAGGAUUAGAUACCCUGGUAGUCCACGCCGUAAACGAUGGGCACUAGGUGCUUGGGGGAGCGACCCCCUGAGUGCCGUCGCUAACGCAUUAAGUGCCCCGCCUGGGGAGUACGGCCGCAAGGCUG
rnacentral:rRNA from 1 species